rnacentral:rRNA from 1 species
GACGUAGGGUGCAAGCGUUGUCCGGAUUUACUGGGCGUAAAGGGCGCGUAGGCGGCCUGUUAAGUCGAACGUGAAAUCCCCAGGCUCAACCUGGGAACUGCGUCCGAUACUGGCAGGCUUGAAUCCGGGAGAGGGAUGCGGAAUUCCAGGUGUAGCGGUGAAAUGCGUAGAUAUCUGGAGGAACACCGGUGGCGAAGGCGGCAUCCUGGACCGGUAUUGACGCUGAGGCGCGAAAGCCAGGGGAGCAAACGGG